rnacentral:rRNA from 1 species
CCUACGGGAGGCAGCAGUGAGGAAUAUUGGUCAAUGGACGAGAGUCUGAACCAGCCAAGUCGCGUGAGGGAUGACUGCCCUAUGGGUUGUAAACUUCUUUUAUAUGGGAAUAAAAUGUUCCACGUGUGGGGUUUUGUAUGUACCAUAUGAAUAAGGAUCGGCUAACUCCGUGCCAGCAGCCGCGGUAAUACGGAGGAUCCGGUCGUUAUCCGGAUUUAUUGGGUUUAAAGGGAGCGUAGGUGGAUUGUUAAGUCAGUUGUGAAAGUUGGCGGCUCAACCUUAAAAUUGCAGUGGAAACUGGCAGUCUUGAGUACAGUAGAGGUGGGCGGAAUUCGUGGUGUAGCGGUGAAAUGCGUAGAUAUCACGAAGAACUCCGAUUGCGAAGGCAGUUCACUGGACUGCAACUGACACUGAGGCUCGAAAGUGUGGGUAUCAAACAGGAUUAGAUACCCGUGUAGUC